AGUGAACGCUGGCGGUAGGCCUAACACAUGCAAGUCGAACGGCAGCACAGUAAGAGCUUGCUCUUACGGGUGGCGAGUGGCGGACGGGUGAGGAAUACAUCGGAAUCUACUUUUUCGUGGGGGAUAACGUAGGGAAACUUACGCUAAUACCGCAUACGACCUACGGGUGAAAGCAGGGGAUCUUCGGACCUUGCGCGAUUGAAUGAGCCGAUGUCGGAUUAGCUAGUUGGCGGGGUAAAGGCCCACCAAGGCGACGAUCCGUAGCUGGUCUGAGAGGAUGAGCAGCAAGACGGGAACUGAAACACGGUCCAGACGCCAACGGGAGGCAGCAGUGGGGAAUAUUGGACAAUGGGCGCAAGCCUGAUCCAGCCAUACCGCGUGAGUGAAGAAGGCCUUCGGGUUGUAAAGCCCUUUUGUUGGGAAAGAAAAGCAGCAGGUUAAUACCCCGCUGUUCUGACGGUACCCAAAGAAUAAGCACCGGCUAACUUCGUG
rnacentral:rRNA from 1 species